UACAGAGGGCGCGAGCGUUGUCCGGAAUCACUGGGCGUAAAGGGCGCGUAGGUGGCGGCAUAAGGCCGUGGUGAAAGUCUGGGGCUCAACCCCAGAUCGGCCAUGGCGACUGUGUCGCUUGGGUACUGUAGAGGCAGGUGGAAUUCCGGGUGUAGCGGUGGAAUGCGUAGAGAUCCGGAAGAACACCCGUGGCGAAGGCGGCUCUCUGGAACGGUACUGACGCUGAGACGCGAAAGCGUGGGGAGCGAACAGG
rnacentral:rRNA from 1 species